CUCUUAACGUAGCAGCUGACGUACGAAAAGUAGGAAUGUCGGUGACUGUUUGAGUUACUAGCCAUUGCAUUUCGGCUGAGUUGACCUUCGCGAUUAUUCGUAAUGCGAAUAACUCGUGGGUGUAAUUUUUGGUAGCCUGGAAUGGCGUUCCUGUCGUUCCGAC